AAACCAACAGGGAUUGCCCUAGUAACGGCGAGUGAAGCGGCAACAGCUCAAAUUUGAAAUCUGGCCCCCGGCCCGAGUUGUAAUUUGUAGAGGAUGCUUCUGGGUAGCGACCGGUCUAAGUUCCUUGGAACAGGACGUCAUAGAGGGUGAGAAUCCCGUAUGCGACCGGCCCGCGCCCUCCACGUAGCUCCUUCGACGAGUCGAGUUGUUUGGGAAUGCAGCUCUAAAUGGGAGGUAAAUUUCUUCUAAAGCUAAAUACCGGCCAGAGACCGAUAGCGCACAAGUAGAGUGAUCGAAAGAUGAAAAGCACUUUGGAAAGAGAGUUAAAAAGCACGUGAAAUUGUUGAAAGGGAAGCGCUUACAACCAGACUUUGAGGCGGUGUUCCGCCGGUCUUCUGACCGGUCUACUCGCCGUCUCGAGGCCAACAUCAUCCGGGACCGCCGGACAAGACCUCAGGAAUGUAGCUCCCCUCGGGGAGUGUUAUAGCCUGUGGUGAUGCGGCGCGUCCCGGGUGAGGUCCGCGCUUCGGCAAGGAUGUUGGCGUAAUGGUUGUCAGCGGC
rnacentral:rRNA from 2 species